AAUAAUAAUAAUAAUAAAUAUAUAUAUAUUUGUUUCUUUCUUUUCUUCUAAUUUGGGUUUAAUAAAUAAGCUAGUGGUUUUACUAUUCUUUGACUAUGAACUAGCUAUUUAAUUUUUGCUAUAUUUCAUUGGUCUAUAAAUGAUUAGCUAAUUUCUUAUUUUGUAUACUUUUAUCUUUGUUUAAAAUAAAUAAAUAAAAUAAAAUUAAAAAAAAAAAAAAACUGAAACAGCAAAAUCCUAAACUAUCACCCUCACGUCUCUUUCCCUUUAAUCCUAAACUACCCAUAACCUUCCCCAACUCCCCACUCCCUCACAUCUCCAUUUUUCAUGCGACACACACCCUCUCACGUAACACACACACACACACACAACGCAGCCCACAAAAAAUUAUAAAUACACACACAACACAACUACACGAGAAGAUGAGAAACAGGAGGGUAGAGAAAAAAAAAAAAAAAACUCAGAAGUAGAAGGAGAAAAAAAGCAACAGAGAGGAGUUAAAAAAAAAAAGCAGUGGAAGAAAGAGAAAGGGAGAUAGCAAAACAACGUAGAAGAAAGAAAAAGGAACAUAAGGAAAGAGAGAAAGAAAAACAACGUAAGCAGUAGAAAAAAAAAAGAACAACAAAAACAGUAGAAAAAAAAAAAGAUCAGAAGCAGUAGAAGAGAAAAACAAAAGAGAGUAAUUUCAGUAACAAAGAGCUUUGAGGGUUUACGAGUUCGAGAUUUGGAUUCCAUUCGUGGUUUGUGGUUCGAGCUCCUGUCACAGUUUUUUUUCCGGUUAGAUUGAGUCCGCCGGAGUUUGGUGUAAUCAAUUUCAUAUUAAAGAAGAUUCACACUAAGAGGCCAAAAUGAUACCGAUGAGAUGUGAUAAGAGGCCAAGAAAUGAAGCAGUUGAAGAAGUCAAUGAACCCCCAGAGUUUAUGAUUGCAGACAAAACCCCACCGCUACUCCUGGCUUGGUGGAACGAUAUGGGUCAUUAUCUACAGACCCCGAUAUUUAAACAUCUGGCAUUCCUCACAGAUAUUAUGAGAAUCAGCCCUUGAUGAGUCGUGAAAUUACGCGAUAUUCGACGCUAAUUCCUUAAGCUUUUGUGACUCCUUAAGCACUUUUGUUGUUACUUUUUGUGUUUUUAUGUUGUUUUGUAGGAAAAGAUGCCCGGAGAGCAUAAAAGAACAAAAUGGAUCAAAAUGGACCAAAAUGGAACAAAAUAGAGCAAAACAAGCCAAGUAGCUGAAAUGAGUGAUCGGAAGAAACCAAGUGAAAAGAAAGUCAAAAAGAGGUCAAACUGGACAUUUUUGCAAAACUGUCAAAACUGGACAGUUUUGCAAAAACGGGACAGAUUUGCAAAACAGUCAAAAGUGGACAGUUUUGCAAAAACGGGCAGAAUUGCAAAAACAGAAAUAUGGGGGCAGAUUUUGACAUUUUUUGGACUUGGAAAAAUUGGGGGGAGCUACAAAAGAGAGGCUAGGGCAAAACAUUUUCCAUCUUUGGUCAUUUUGCAAGUUUUGGAGGCUAGGGUUUUUCUACAAUAUUGGAGGAGAAGAUUGGAAACACUUCAAUGAGAUAUUUCUUAAUCCUUUCUUCAAUUCCUUGUUUUGUAUUGCAUAUCUAAGUGUGUAGUAUUUAUUCCAUUACUUGAAUCUUGAUUGUGAAACUAUUCUUGAUUAAAGUUUGGAUUGAAACU